rnacentral:rRNA from 1 species
GACGAACGCUGGCGGCAUGCCUAAUACAUGCAAGUCGAGCGAACAGAUGAAGUGCUUGCACUUCUGACGUUAGCGGCGAACGGGUGAGUAACACGUAAGGAAUCUACCUAUAAGCGGGGGAUAACAUUCGGAAACGGGUGCUAAUACCGCAUAAUAUCUUCUUCCGCAUGGAAGAAGAUUGAAAGACGGCUCUGCUGUCACUUAUAGAUGACCUUGCGGUGCAUUAGUUAGUUGGUGGGGUAACGGCCUACCAAGACGAUGAUGCAUAGCCGACCUGAGAGGGUGAUCGGCCACAUUGGGACCGAGACACGGCCCAAACUCCUACGGGAGGCAGCAGUAGGGAAUCUUCCGCAAUGGGCGAAAGCCUGACGGAGCAAUGCCGCGUGAGUGAGGAAGGCCUUCGGGUCGUAAAACUCUGUUAUAAGAGAAGAACAAAUUGUAGAGUAACUGCUACAGUCUUGACGGUAUCUUAUCAGAAAGCCACGGCUAACUACGUGCCAGCCGCCGCCGUAA